AUAUCUAGGUGUUAGGUUGUACCUCGGUGCGUUCAAAAUCAGCAGAUCUCCGUAUUUCCCUACUUCAAGAGAGCCAUGGGUUUUCUGUUUACCCAAUGCAGCAGCUAAGUUCACAGAUCGAUAACUAUCGACUAAAGCUUCAGGUAAAGUCAUCCCAAACAAAACGCAAGCGAGAUUCAUCACCAACGGCUGCAUCACAUAAUAAAAUGAAUUCAUUGUAAAGUUAACGACCAGAAAUGAUAAAAUCGUCAAACCAUGGAAAGGCAGUGAGCAUUGGGAUUGAAAUCGGAGCCAAGUGCUACCGGUACGCCUUGGUUUAUCAUCUGUCGAACUGGCGGAGGCUUCAAGCGAAGAAGAUAUGCUGUAGUAGGCAAGAUGACUGCAACAGAAGGUUUCACAGCCAUUGCAGCAAUUCCUUCUUGACUGAUCUCUUCUAGAUGGCUCAUAGCUUCGGCACCCAGAGAAGCUCCCAUCUGCGGUUAUAUAAAAUGGUUCCGCUUUACCAAUUUAUAUUAUUUCCCUAAAUUGAUAUUUUAAUUCCAACCUC